rnacentral:rRNA from 1 species
AACGAACGCUGGCGGCAUGCCUAACACAUGCAAGUCGAACGAGACCUUCGGGUCUAGUGGCGCACGGGUGCGUAACGCGUGGGAACCUGCCCUUAGGUUCGGAAUAACUCCCCGAAAGGGGUGCUAAUACCGGAUAAUGUCUUCGGACCAAAGAUUUAUCGCCUUUGGAUGGGCCCGCGUUGGAUUAGCUAGUUGGUAGGGUAAAUGCCUACCAAGGCGACGAUCCAUAGCUGGUCUGAGAGGAUGAUCAGCCACACUGGGACUGAGACACGGCCCAGACUCCUACGGGAAGCAGCAGUGGGGAAUAUUGGACAAUGGGCGAAAGCCUGAUCCAGCAAUGCCGCGUGAGUGAUGAAGGCCUUAGGGUUGUAAAGCUCUUUUACCCGGGAUGAUAAUGACAGUACCGGGAGAAUAAGCUCCGGCUAACUCCGUG